UAAUAUUUUGAACCGCAUGGUUCAAAAGUGAAAGACGGUCUUGCUGUCACUUAUAGAUGGAUCCGCGCUGCAUUAGCUAGUUGGUAAGGUAACGGCUUACCAAGGCAACGAUGCAUAGCCGACCUGAGAGGGUGAUCGGCCACACUGGAACUGAGACACGGUCCAGAUUCCUACGGGAGGCAGCAGUAGGGAAUCUUCCGCAAUGGGCGAAAGCCUGACGGAGCAACGCCGCGUGAGUGAUGAAGGUCUUCGGAUCGUAAAACUCUGUUAUUAGGGAAGAACAUAUGUGUAAGUAACUGUGCACAUCUUGACGGUACCUAAUCAGAAAGCCACGGCUAACUACGUGCCAGCAGCCGCGGUAAAACGUAGGUGGCAAGCGUUAUCCGGAAUUAUUGGGCGUAAAGCGCGCGUAGGCGGUUUUUUAAGUCUGAUGUGAAAGCCCACGGCUCAACCGUGGAGGGUCAUUGGAAACUGGAAAACUUGAGUGCAGAAGAGGAAAGUGGAAUUCCAUGUGUAGCGGUGAAAUGCGCAGAGAUAUGGAGGAACACCAGUGGCGAAGGCGACUUUCUGGUCUGUAACUGACGCUGAUGUGCGAAAGCGUGGGGAUCAAACAGGAUUA
rnacentral:rRNA from 1 species